rnacentral:rRNA from 1 species
UACGGGGGGAGCAAGCGUUGUUCGGAUUUACUGGGCGUAAAGGGCGCGUAGGCGGCCAGCACAAGUCAGUUGUGAAAUCUCCGAGCUUAACUCGGAAAGGUCAACUGAUACUGUGCGGCUAGAGUGCGGAAGGGGCAACUGGAAUUCUUGGUGUAGCGGUGAAAUGCGUAGAUAUCAAGAGGAACACCUGCGGCGAAGGCGGCGCUCUGGCUCGCAACUGACGCUCAGACACGACAGCAUGGGGAGCGAACGGG